AAAGCAUGAUGAGGGAACUUCCUAACAAUUUCCUUAAAUCUCUACCAAUGCUCAUAAAUUGAUUCUACUUCUAACUAGGUAAAAGAAGUGAUAUAAUUUCUAAGGUU